CUUUGAUAAAUGUAAUGGCCUCCUCCAACUCGCCCUUAUUCUUGUAUAUGUCAGACUUGUUCAGCACAAAUACGACCUUCUUACUCCACUGCUGAGUGUAACGCAGAAAACUAACCUCACUUUCAGUUAAUGGUCGAUCAGCAGACAUGAGAAACAGAAGCAGAUCUGCACGAGGCACAAAUUCCUCCGUCAGCCUUUGUUGCCUUUGAAGAAUCACAUUUGUUCCUGG
rnacentral:misc_RNA from 1 species